GAUGAAGAACGCAGCGAAAUGCGAUAAGUAGUGUGAAUUGCAGAAUUCAGUGAAUCAUCGAAUCUUUGAACGCACAUUGCGCCCCUUGGUAUCCCGAGGGGCAUGCCUGUUCGAGCGUCAUUUCACCACUCAAGCCUGGCUUGGUGUUGGGCGACGUCCUCUUUGGGGACGCGCCUCGAAACGCUCGGCGGCGUGGCACCGGCUUUAAGCGUAGCAGAAUCUUUCGCUUUGGAAGUCGGGGCCCCGUCUGCCGGAAGACCUGCUCGCAAGGUUGACCUCGGAUCAGGCAGGUAUACCCGCUGAACUUAAGCAUAUCAAUAAGCGGAGGA
rnacentral:misc_RNA from 1 species